UAGCAAUACAGAUGGCGCACGGCGCACGGGUGCGUAACACGUGGGUAAUCUGCCCUCCGAAGGGGAAUAACUCGCCGAAAGGCGAGCUAAUUCCGCAUAACAUUCCGAGAACCUUGGUUUUUGGAUUCAAAGGCGUAAGUCGUCGGAGGAGGAGCCCGCGCACGAUUAGCUAGUUGGUAGGGUAACGGCCUACCAAGGCUAUGAUCGUUAGCUGGUCUGAGAGGAUGGCCAGCCACACUGGAACUGAGACACGGUCCAGACUCCUACGGGAGGCAGCAGUGGGGAAUCUUGCACAAUGGGCGAAAGCCUGAUGCAGCGACGCCGCGUGGGGGAUGAAGCUUCUCGGAGUGUAAACCCCUUUCGACCCGGACGAAUGCCCCGCAAGGGGACUGACGGUACGGGUAUAAGAAGCCCCGGCUAACUACGUGCCAGCAGCCGCGGUAAGACGUAGGGGGCCAGCGUUGCUCGGAAUUACUGGGUGUAAAGGGUUCGUAGGCGGUGUGGCAAGUCGGGAGUGAAAUCUCUGGGCUCAACCCAGAGUCUGCUUCCGAAACUGCUGUGCUUGAGUGUGGGAGAGGCGCGUGGAAUUGCAGGUGUAGCGGUGAAAUGCGUAGAUAUCUGCAGGAACACCCGUGGCGAAAGCGGCGCGCUGGACCACUACUGACGCUGAGGAACGAAAGCUAGGGGAGCAAACAGGAUUAGAUACCCUGGUAGUCCUAGCCCUAAACGAUCAGGACUUGGGGUGCCACCCGUUCGGGUGUCGUCCCGGAGCUAACGCGUUAAGUCCUGCACCUGGGGAGUACGGUCGCAAGACUGAAACUCAAAGGAAUUGAC
rnacentral:rRNA from 1 species